GGGAAUUCUUCCCUUCCCUCAGUUACUCGGUAGGAUUUCCACGUGCCCCUGGUGAGGAGCCAGCAAAAUGGAACCUGUGCUUUGCUUUCCCAGGGAAGUUUUGGCUGCUCCUGGUGCCCUUGAUGUGAAAUGUGUAUCGCCCUUCCCCGCCCAGCAGCAGCAAAAGGCUUCACUGGCCCUGCGGAGGCUCGCAGGGCAGGUGCGACUGUCACCAGCAGAUGGACGGGUCACUCCCUGCUUUCGCUCCCAAUUGAAGCAGAGAUUAAUGCCGGCGUUACCAGCUCCUAAAACAGAGAUGCUAGAGGAAAGUAAAGCUAAGAGUUCAUUACACAGCUAAAA
rnacentral:lncRNA from 12 species